rnacentral:rRNA from 1 species
GUUAAAGCGGUACGCGAGCUGGGUUCAGAACGUCGUGAGACAGUUCGGACUCUAUCCGGUGUAGGCGCAUGGAAUUUUGAGGAGGGACUCCUACAGUACGAGAGGACCUAGGAUGUGGAGAUCCCUGGUGUACCGGUUAUCUUAUAAGGGUAAUGCCGGGUAGCUAUAUCUCUAUUCGAUAAACACUGAAUGCAUAUCAAGUGUGAAGCGAGCUCCAAGAUAAGAAUUCCUUUUAGCUUUCCUGAAGAUUACAGGAUUAAUAGACGUCAGGUGUAAGUUCUGUAAAGAAUUUAGCCAAGACGUACUAAGUAGCAAUC